GAGCACCUGGAAAAGAGAACAAAAUUAUAUCCAAGUUUUUGCCCAAAUGCACUGUACAUUUUUGAGACUUGAUUCCUUGGGGCGGAAAAUAAAAGGAUGUGACAUUAACCCAACUGGCAUUCAGACUCGACUGACUUACACGACAAGCAUUCCUG